GGACCCGCACAAGCAGUGGAGCAUGUGGUUUAAUUCGAAGAUACGCGCAGAACCUUACCAACACUUGACAUGUUCGUCGCGAGACUAAGAGAUUAGUCUUUUCAGUUUGGCUGGACGAAACACAGGUGCUGCAUGGCUGUCGUCAGCUCGUGUCGUGAGAUGUUGGGUUAAGUCCCGCAACGAGCGCAACCCUCAUCUUUAGUUGCCAGCAUUUAGUUGGGCACUCUAAAGAAACUGCCCGUGAUAAGCGGGAGGAAGGUGUGGAUGACGUCAAGUCCUCAUGGCCCUUACGGGUUGGGCUACACACGUGCUACAAUGGUAGUGACAAUGGCUAAUCCCAAAAAAC
rnacentral:rRNA from 1 species